AUGUUAACCCGGGCUGGGGACAGGACAGAGGGAACUUCUUGUCCAUCCUGCGUGGCCGCAGUCUACGAGCAUCAGGUGAUUCUGAACCCAGAGCCGCACAUGCGUCUGUCCCUAACCGCGGCGCUCAAGCACAUGAUGAGAAACCUGAAGGUCUAUGAGGAGCAGGCCGUGCAGGCAGCAGAACAGGGGGCUCAGAUCAUUGUAUUUCCAGAGGACGGUAUCCAUGGGUUCAACUUCAGUCGUCUGUCCAUCUCUGGUUACCUUGAGACCAUCCCUGACCCACUGACUGAGGACUGGAACCCCUGUACACAGCCUGACAGACACAAUCACACUGAGGUCCUCCAGAGUUUGAGCUGCAUGGCUCGACGUCACCAACUAUACCUGGUGGCCAACAUGCCUGACCUCCAGCCCUGCCCUCUCAUCCCCACCUUGACCCCUCUCAAACCCCCUGCCCCCCCGAUGGGCGCUGGCAGUUCAACACUGAUGUAGUCUUCAGGUCUGAUGGUUCCCUGGCGGCUCGCUACCACAAACAAAACCUGUACUUCGAGAAGGAAUUCGAUACCCCGCCCAGACUAGAGGUGGUGACCUUUGACACGCCGUUCGCCGGACGGUUUGGAGUGUUCACCUGCUUUGACAUCCUGUUUCAUGACCCUACUGUCAGACUACUGGAGAAGGGUAUAAGACAGAUGAUCUUCCCCACAGCCUGGAUGAAUCUGCUUCCUCUACUAACAGCGAUUCAGAUCCAGAGAGCGGUCAGUCUGGGAGCUAACGUCACUCUGCUGGCGGCUAACCUCAGGCAUGACAGCAAGGCUAUGACGGGCAGCGGCAUCUUCACCCCUAGUACUUCCAUCUAUCACCACGCCUUCCACCACCCUGGGGGGCCAGAGGAGGGGAAGCUGCUGGUGUUGAGGAUACCUGUACUGGACAGUGACUGGCUGGCAACACAGAAGCAGGCAAAGAGGCAGGGGGAGAAAGGAGGAAAGAGUGAGGCAAAGGGGCAGGGGGAGAUAGGAGGAGAGGGUUGCUGCUUGAUUCAGAGGGCCAGCUGA